rnacentral:rRNA from 1 species
AAUAUUGGACAAUGGGGGCAACCCUGAUCCAGCCAUGCCGCGUGUGUGAAGAAGGNCUNNUGGUUNUNAAGCACUUUAAGCAGNNNNNAAGACUCCAUGGUUAAUACCCAUGGACGAUGACAUUAGCUGCAGAAUAAGCCCCGGCUAACUCUGUGCCAGCAGCCGCGGUAAUACAGAGGGUGCAAGCGUUAAUCGGAAUUACUGGGCGUAAAGCGAGCGUAGGUGGCUUGAUAAGUCAGAUGUGAAAUCCCCGGGCUUAACCUGGGAACUGCAUCUGAUACUGUUAGGCUAGAAUAGGUGAGAGGAAGGUAGAAUUCCAGGUGUAGCGGUGAAAUGCGUAGAGAUCUGGAGGAAUACCGAUGGCGAAGGCAGCCUUCUGGCAUCAUAUUGACACUGAGGUUCGAAAGCGUGGGUAGCAAA